GCUUAUAAAUUAAUUUAAUUUUUUUUUUACAUGUAAAUAUUUGUGAGAGAGAUAAUUAUAUUUUAAAAAUAUAUUUAGGAUAGUUUAUUCGCAGUAUGAAAUUUUAAUAAUUUAAGGGAUUAAGAAUUAUAAAUAAAUUUUAAUAUUGACUAAAUUUGUGCCAGCAGUUGCGGUUAUACAAAUAAUAUGAGUUAAUUUUAUUAGUGUUAAUUAAAUUGAGAUUUUUUAAAAUAAAUAUUAUUUUUAUUAGGUGAAAUUUUAAAAAUAAUUAUAUUUUUAUAAAAGAUUUUGUUAUUAUGAAAUUUUUUAAUAAACUAGGAUUAGAUACCCUAUUAUUUUAAAUGUAAAAUUAUAUGCUAAAGUAGUAUUAGUUAAGUUCUUGAAAUUUAAAAAUUUUGGCGGUAUUUUAGUCUAUUCAGAGGAACCUGUUCUAUAAUUGAUAAUCCACGAUUUACUUUACUUAAUUUAAUUAAUUUGUAUAUCAUCGUUAUUAGAUAAUUUUAUAAGAAUAUAAAUUUUUAAGAUUUUAAAUAAAUAAAUAAAUCAGAUCAAGAUGCAGUUUAUAGUUAAGAAGAAAUGGGUUACAAUAAAUUUAUUUAUAUGGAUUAUUAGAUGAAAUUUUAAUAUGAAGGUGGAUUUGAAAGUAAUUAAAUUAAUUUUAAUUUAAUGAUUUAAGCUCUAAAAUAUGUACAUAUCGCCCGUCGCUCUUAUUAUAAAAUAAGAUAAGUCGUAACAUAGUAGAUGUACUGGAAAGUGUAUCUAGAAAGGC
rnacentral:ncRNA from 1 species